GCGACCCCAGGAUGGGCGAGGCCACCCGCCGAGUUUAAGCAUAUCAAUAAGCGGAGAAGAAG
rnacentral:rRNA from 1 species